GGUGGCUCAGUGGUAGAGCACUUGCCUUGACUGCAUGAGGCCCUGGGUUCAAUUCCUCAGCACCA
rnacentral:tRNA from 1 species